rnacentral:lncRNA from 1 species
GAGCUAGGAGAGACCAGCGGGCGGUAGCUGCGGCGAGUGGCCUCUCCGUGCGGCACAGAGGCAAGAAGCAGCCAUCCAUCCAGAAGCAGCCUCCGUGUUCCGUUUGUCCGGAUGUCAUCGUAGGUGGCCGGCAUCUCUGGCUUUGGGGCAGACAUCCUGCACUACAUUCCAGAUCUGAUGAGGCAUGGCUGCCCCAGGAUUACUGGGCUCGGACGGGAGCAGUGGUAGGAAGGAUCCUAUAUAAGUCAUGUGAGACAUAGAAUGUUCAGAUCAACUGAAGCUGAAACAAGCCUUUGGCAUCAUAUAUAACCCAGAAAGGGACAAAGCUGCAGGUUCCUUGAAUGCUUGGUUUAUGUGCCUGGCUGGAGGAGACACCCAUGGCCUUGCAGAGGGAGCGUUCUGGUGGGAAAGCAGACACAACCCACCCUAGGCCCGUGGUUUCCCUGCAAGAAGCCCAGUGGCUUUCUGGAGGACACUUUUCCUGGAGGAAGUGACUCAAGAGCAGCAUAAGCCAGGCUCUAUGGAAUGUUGGGUGAGCUGCUUGAGGAACUCCAAGGCCUGUCCCACAGUCUUCCAGCCUCCGACUCUCCGGCCCUCAGCGAGGAAGUCCCACUGGUUUUUUUGGUUGGUUUUUUUUUUUUUUUUUAAGGUUUUUUGGUUUUUUUUUUUUUUUCUCAUUCCUGUCUUGGGAGCUUUCCCCAACCAGGAGAGUGAAGAUGGGCGGAGCUGUCACACCAACUGUUAGCCUGCCUUGGCUGAGAGGAGAGGAGGCGAGGAGGGAGCGACCACCCAGCUUUAGUCGUUUUAAAACAGCUCCUGACCCUAGAAGAAGGGAAAUGGAGAUGAAGACCCAAUUGACUUGGCUUCCCUCCCUCCCAGUGCUGAUUUCCUGUGGACCAGAUUCCAGCACAGUGGAGGGCCAGAGCUCAGGGAACAGACCCAGCAGCACAGCAAGUCUCCAAGGAAAGCUCUAGCAGUCUCCAGGGGCUGAAGGCAGGACUGGGGAAGCGGCUAGCCAGGCUGCAGAAGGCAAAUGCUCCCAGACGGCUGUCCAGCACGCAUCCGCCUUCCUAGCCAAGUUUCCUGGGCUCCUGCCACAGAUCUAAGCCUCAUCCUGACAUCCUGCCCUCUGUGCUCUGGGAUGGCCCAGGGGAGAUGCUUAGCCUUGGCUCCUUGUCUGCUGGUGGAGGGGACACACACCCUUUCUGGACCACAGACCAAAAAGAAGACCUGACGUCAUCCUGAGCACCCCCGCCAUGCAGAGUGUGUUCGCAGACUGCCAACGGGCUGGCUCCGGCCAGCAGAAGUGAACAGAGGUGGAGGUUCAGCCUGACAGCUUCUCCCCAAAGCCAUGGAGAGAAAACCUUACCACCCCCACCGCCCAGCUACUUCCAGCAAGUUGUCCAGCCUGACCCCUCUAUUUCCCCUGUUGUCUCUUAUCUGGGUCCCUGAGACCCACCCCAUCUCCAAUAAAGAACAUUGCAUACUGUG